rnacentral:rRNA from 1 species
GACGAACGCUGGCGGCGUGCCUAAUACAUGCAAGUAGAACGCACAGUUUAUACCGUAGCUUGCUACACCAUAGACUGUGAGUUGCGAACGGGUGAGUAACGCGUAGGUAACCUGCCUGGUAGCGGGGGAUAACUAUUGGAAACGAUAGCUAAUACCGCAUAAUAUUGAUUAUUGCAUGAUAAUUGAUUGAAAGAUGCUAUUGCAUCACUACCAGAUGGACCUGCGUUGUAUUAGCUAGUAGGUGAGGUAACGGCUCACCUAGGCGACGAUACAUAGCCGACCUGAGAGGGUGAUCGGCCACACUGGGACUGAGACACGGCCCAGACUCCUACGGGAGGCAGCAGUAGGGAAUCUUCGGCAAUGGACGAAAGUCUGACCGAGCAACGCCGCAUGAGUGAAGAAGGUUUUCGGAUCGUAAAGCUCUGUUGUAAGAGAAGAACGGGUGUGAGAGUGGAAAGUUCACACUGUGACGGUAUCUUACCAGAAAGGGACGGCUAACUACGUG